UCCCCUGUAGCUCAGUUGGCAGAGCGGGUGGCUGUUAACCACCAUGUCGGCAGUUCAACCCUGUCCGGGGGAG
rnacentral:tRNA from 1 species